GACAGAGGUGCCGAGCGUUAGGCGGAAUCACUGGGCUUAAAGCGUGUGUAGGCGGAUCUGUAAGUACCUUGUGAAAUCCCACGGCUCAACCGUGGAACUGCUUGGUAUACUGCGGGUCUUGAGCCACCUAGGGGCAAGUGGAACAAACGGUGGAGCGGUGAAAUGCGUAGAUAUCGGGAGGAACACCUGCGGCGAAAGCGGCGCACUGGACCACAACUGACGCUGAGGCGCGAAAGCUAGGGGAGCAAACAGG
rnacentral:rRNA from 1 species